ensembl:lncRNA
AUGUGUAUAUAUUUGUGUGUGUGUGUUUGUGUGUGUGUGUGUGUGUUUGUGUGUGUGUGUGUGUGUGUGUGUGUGUGUGUGUGUGUGUGUGUGUGUGUGUGUGUGUGUGUGUGUGUGUGUGUGUGUGUGUGUGUGUGUGUGUGUCUGUGUGUGUUUGUUGCAGGGGGGGACCGCAGCAGUCUGGGCAGCUCUGGUAGUGUGACCAGUGUGAGGUCAUCGGGGAGCGGCCAGAGUGCUGGCAGCGGGACACACAUACUGCACGCACAGGCUGAGGGAGUCAAGCUCCUUGCCACAGUUCUAUCCCAGUCAGCCAAAGCCAAGGAACACCUGCUGGAGCAGUCUAAGUCAGUGGAGCAGACUUCAGGCUCGGCUGCCUCAUCCCGUACAUCCAGCCAAUCGGGUUGUCCACUCCAUGAAGCCCCACCCUACGAUGCCACAGCAACGAGGAAAGGGGAGGGGCAAGUUGAGGGGAAGGUAGGAUGCUUCGAUUUCCGCCUUCUAUCUAUCUCUGGCGCUCUUCCUCUCUCUCUCGCUCUCUCUCUCUCUCUCUCUCUCUCUCGCUCUCUCUCUCUCUCUCUCUCUCUCUCUCUCUCUCUCUCUGUCCUACUCUGUCCAGUUUCUUCUUCUUCUUCACUCACUUCCUCCAUCCAUCCCUUUCAUUCGGAUAAUGCUCUCUCUCACUCAUACACACACAUACACACACACACACACACACGCUAACACACACAUACACAAACACACACACACAUACACAAGGACAGACACACAUACACAUGUUGCACGACAAAUACACGCAGACAUGGAGACUUGUUAGCCACCAGGUGAGGAUGACAACAGUCAGCCCCUGACAUGCACACGCUCACACACACAUACACAAACUCACACGCGCUCACCAUGCUGUCGCAGCGUUUUCUCUCUCAACUGGCGUCCUCCGUGCUGCAGGCAUUGGGCUGCAGCCGCGACACGGUGAGUGCACGAGCGCCUGGCUAUGGUGUGCGCUGCCACAGCGAUGUCAAUCUCCGUCCAGUUGUUGACUACUGAUGGCAGAGACGGAGGGAGAGAGAGAGAGAGAGAGAGAGAGAGAGAGAGAGAGAGAGAGAGAGAGAGAGAGAGAGAGAGAGAGAGAGAGAGAGAGAGAGAGAACUCUAUGCUAACAUAACCAGCUUGCUAUCUUUUUUAAAUUCCUUAUGUUGCCACAUAUCUUAUUUUAUUGUUUUUUUGCUAUGGGUGCUAAGGGUUUUAAUAUUAGCCAUAGGUAGGUGUAUUUUCCCUGGAGAUGAUAGUGAUACAGUUUUAAGUUUGUGCGUGUCGGUGGGCUGUGUAUGUGUGUGAUUGUGUUUAUGAGUAUGUGGGCUGUGUGUGUGUGUGUGUGUGUGUGUGUGUGUGUGUGUGUGUGUGUGUGUGUGUGUGUGUGUGUGUGUGUGUGUGUGUGUGUGUGUGUGUGUGUGUGUGUGUGUGUGUGUGUGUGUGUGUGUGUGUAGGAGGAGGGGGGGUUGUAUGUGUGCUGUUUGUGUGUGGGGGGGCUUUGUGUGUGUGUGUGUGUGUGUAUGUGUCUGUGUUUGUGUGAGCGGGGUGCGUGGGGGUUUGUGAGCAUGUAUGUUUUUGUGUGUGCGUAUGUGCUACUGGGUAGUAUUAGUCAGGUUGUUGUGGGGCCAUCUGUUGGCUAGUGCCCUAGUGUUCUGGUUCUCGCUGUUCUUCUAUUUUCAACAAAAUGGAGAAGAUGGAGAGAGAGAGAGAGGAAGAAGAGGAAAGACAUUAUAUAUGUUAAUAAUAUUAUUAUAAAAUUAUGUUAGAGGUUGGAUAUCAAAUCUUCCUACUCCAACUUUUAUUUUGAGUAGUGGAAUAGGGCCUAGCCAUCUGUGACCGUGUAAGGAGCAAACUAAAAUACAACAACCGAAUGUUAUAUCAUUGUUAGACAUCCAUUAUAAUGAACUGCUAUAAUGAGUCCAACACAUUUAGAACAAGAAGUUUUUAACCACGUCCUCCCUUACAAAAAGCCUCUCCCCUAAUGGUCCCUACAAAUAAAGCACAGCUUGUGAAGGAUAAUGGGUCUGGGUUGAUACCUGACCACAGAUAUCCAGACGAGUGGGGCGAGGACCCUGGGGCCACUUCUGGGGCCUCGUUGGCCCCUGCUGCUGUCUCAAAGCUGGGGGCCGUAGAAGUGAGCCAGAAACAGAGUGACAGCCUUCCCUUCGCCAUCUCUUGUCUCCCGUAGAGCUCAGAGGCUGUUGUCCAAUGGCUGAGCGACUUUCAGCUGCAGGUCUACGUUCCAAACUUCCUGGGCGCUGGGUAUGACUUGCCCACCAUUAGCAGAAUGACUCCGGAGGUAAGGUCCCUCUUUGACCCCCCCCCCCCCCCCCCCCCCCCCCACCCACCCAACCCACUGCCUGACCCCACCGCCCGACCCCCAACCUGUUGUGGCCUCGAGAGACCAUUGCUUAAAAGGACCACAAUGCAUUGCAAGCCAAUGGCACCUCACUGUGCUGUCCUUUGCGAUGUC